rnacentral:rRNA from 1 species
UACGUAGGGGGCAAGCGUUGUCUGGAUUUAUUGGGCGUAAAGAGCGUGUAGGCGGCUUGGUAGGUCCGCUGUGAAAACUCGAGGCUCAACCUCGAGAUGUCGGCGGAAACCACUUGGCUAGAGUCCGGAAGAGGAGAGUGGAAUUCCUGGUGUAGCGGUGAAAUGCGCAGAUAUCAGGAAGAACACCUAUGGCGAAGGCAGCUCUCUGGGACGGUACUGACGCUGAGACGCGAAAGCGUGGGGAGCGAACAGG